rnacentral:rRNA from 1 species
UGGGGAAUAUUGCACAAUGGGCGCAAGCCUGAUGCAGCCAUGCCGCGUGUAUGAAGAAGGCCUUCGGGUUGUAAAGUACUUUCAGCGAGGAGGAAGGCAUUAAGGUUAAUAACCUUAGUGAUUGACGUUACUCGCAGAAGAAGCACCGGCUAACUCCGUGCCAGCAGCCGCGGUAAUACGGAGGGUGCAAGCGUUAAUCGGAAUUACUGGGCGUAAAGCGCACGCAGGCGGUCUGUUAAGUCAGAUGUGAAAUCCCCGGGCUCAACCUGGGAACUGCAUUUGAAACUGGCAGGCUUGAGUCUUGUAGAGGGGGGUAGAAUUCCAGGUGUAGCGGUGAAAUGCGUAGAGAUCUGGAGGAAUACCGGUGGCGAAGGCGGCCCCCUGGACAAAGACUGACGCUCAGGUGCGAAAGCGUG